rnacentral:lncRNA from 1 species
ACUUCUUCUUCCCGUGGCCUCCCAUGGGUGAAACAGGGGACCGAAUGGUCCCCCCCUCGUUUGGUUGGCCGACCAGUGGUCAGCCAGCAUGAGGAUGGCUAACGGUAGGAGGAGAGCCACCCGCCAUCCGAAGGAACCCAAGUCGGUGACCGACGACGACCACCGAUGCCCGAAAACUAGAAAAAAUCAAAACCUCUCCCUCAAUAAAAUCUGAUGGCUUUGGUCACUGACGAACAUGUACACUGACACAGAAAGG